CUGAUAUUCUUGGUUCAUCUUUGCUCGCCGAAGUAAAAUUAGAGGCCCUGAGACUCCUGCUGGUAGAACAAGCUCUCAAUUUCUCACCGUCGAAAUUCAAUCUGAUUUCUAUCUUUUUCACUAAAAGGCUGUCAACAGAAAAUAAGCAAUUCCCAUCAAAGAGUCAUAUUAGUUUCUGAGGUAUAUAAAUUCAGCUGGUAGAUGGAGAAACACUCAAAGUAAUGUAAGUUUUUUUUUUUUUUAAUUUGCAUUUUCUAGGAAACAAAACAAAAACAAUAACAGAGGGCAUAAACCCAUCCAACAGAAAAUCAUGAAAAAAAAGAGAAGUUGAUUUACUGUUAUGUCACUAAUAACUUCUUUUCUAACCAUGGCCCUAGGUCUGCCUUUCUCUUCCUUAUGUGUUGUAACUCCAUUGACCUGGUUAUCCUUCAUCUAUUGUGAUGGAAGCAGGAUGACAGUCAUUCUUGCACUUACAACGAAUAGCACACAACUGAAAUAAGAAGUUUCUUUGCAGUAUAGGAUAGUAUUAGAUCUACCAGUAGCCAGUGGGACUAUCUUGAUAUGCCAGAAAUACAACUCAACUUUCUCUAUGUGGUAUAGCAGCAUUCUAUAAAAGUGUAUCGAGUGUUUAUUUCAGGUAUGUUUUAGCAUUUGACAGUCAACCAUUUACAGUCUUAAAAGUAUGUUUCCAGAUUUUUUUCCACUGUAGUUUUUACAAUUUCUCAAGGGAAUUUCAAAGGUAGACAAAUGUAACUUGAAGCUAAAUCAACACUUUCUGUGAAAUCUCCUUCAACUGUCUUAGGCCUUUGAGAACAACAUCUGAACUGACUACUUUUCCCUUUUAUUUUGUGAGAUAUGUGAGCAACAAGGUUGUUCAGAUUGAGAUUCUGUGGUCAUAUAAGAUUUUUUUUUCUUUUUUACACAAGUUUAUUUAUAGCUUUUUUUUUUCUUUUUUUUUUGUCUUUUUUCUUUUUUUCUCUUGGGCACUACUAAGGGAGCUGAACAAACGCAUAAUCUAGAGAUUCCUUUUCUUUCCUACACGGCAGCUGUUCUAAGUGCAAGCUCACUGUAACAAGUAGCCUGGUACUGUCUGGGCUCUGAACUGUGAUUCAGUUUAGAUUUAUUUCUCUUGGUCAAAGAGGUUACUAUCCCUGCUGUCAACUCUGUCCUUCUUCUGGAGAUUACUUCCCCCAGAGCAAAGGCAGCAAAGCAGGUGGUUUGUCUGCUCUUUUGACAUUGGAGUUCACAACCUAGUAUAUUAACAUAAACUGAAACAGACGGUGGGUUAAGUUAAUAUGCCUGACUGCAAACUGUUGCAGCUGAGUCUUUCCCAUAGCUCUCAUUUUUCUGAUGUUGCCACCAAGUUGGUAGCCUCUUUACAGGGACAUGGAGCCCAGUUACAGGCUUAGCAACUGCAGUUAAAGGCAAAAGAAACUUUAGAUUUGAGCCCUAAUCUUAGUUGCUUGUUUAUUGUUUUCUCACAGAUCUUUGCUCUUGUUCAUGUUUUAUUCAUCUUGGAUUCUUGAUAAGAACUUUAAUCAUAGCUUUUCCUUUCAUAGCUCUGACUACUCAGAAUUAUAGCCUAAUUAACUUCAAUUUCAUCCUUUUAGUUUGCAAUAUAAGAGAUGAAUAAAAGAGAAUACUAGUGUUUUCAGCUACGUAUAAAAGUACAGGUACAGAAAAGAGCACAGAAAUCUUAAGAAAACCUGGAACAAGAAUCCCAACAUGCUACAGAGCAGCUCCCUGUUUAUUCACUGGAUCAUUCUGCCUACAAGAAAAGCAGCCCGUAUAUACUAGCCACUUGAUGAGAUCAUAAGAAAAAGCAAGUCCAUAACAAACAGUAUCUCAUUUACAACAGCUUCCUUAAUGGGAGCUGCUUAGAGGUUCUAAGGCAGAACACUGUCUAACAUGGGAGAGAGUACAGUGAAUGUAAAGAUCUGAGUAAUAAACUCAGGGCUGUCUCCCAUUUGCUACAUUUGAUGCUUGUAAUGCACUGGGAAUAUUUACGGUGUAGCAUUUAAUAGCACUUAAAAUCAAGCUUUCUCCUCACAGUGUGUUGAAGAAGUGCCCGCUGUAUAAUCAAAAACCUGUAAGAGAAGUAGAUUAAUCCACAGCUUCUAAUGGUUUUCUUCUCCUUUCCUGAAAUUCUUUAUUCAUACAAAUAUAUUGCUUUCUACUUGAAAAAAUAUUUAUCAGACUGGAAAGACACACUCUGAAGCUUCUUCCCAGGAGAGAUUAAAUGACCACAGAUCUCAUAGCUUUCAGAAAAAAAAUGUAAAAUUCAGUAUUUUAUCCUUUUUUAAAAAUAGAUAAAUCAUCAAGAAAGGAAGAAUUGAGGAAGGAAGCAGAAAUCCUUGGCAUUCAUCUCACAAAUGUUUAAGGCACUUCUAGAUGAACAGGUUAUAACUGCAAAGACAAAUAAAAUGAAAUACUACAUAAAGAAAACUUUGAAUAAACUGAGAUAUUCCACCAUUUUUCAAGCUUACCACGUAGUGAUUCAUUACAAGAAUACAUGAGACCUGAACUUAUGUCUCUGCUUUGUCACAGGAUGUAUGUGCGGUUUCAGGCAGAUCCCUUCAAGACAGAUUUCAGAAGUACCUACAUGCCCAAGGAAAUAAAUAGCCCUUAAGGCAAGGCUCCCCUGACUAAAUACAGGUAUGUCCUCCAGAUGUCUCCAUAAACAGCAGUGAAUAAUCACCUACAUACUCUACUAGUACUGUAGUCAAACUAUUCCAAUAUCCUGGGGCUGUAAUAGAAGAGCAGAAGCCUCAAGAGAAGACAGUGAGAGAUACAGAAGGAUAAGCAACUUCAGGUUUGCGAUGUGCUGGCUAAUAAUGGAGAUGGUAGGGCAGCAAAAGUCCCCUUGGCAUCCACGAGCAGCCCACUCCCACACACAGCAAGUGCAGAAACACACACUUAUGGGAUAAACAAACCUCUGUCAGAGCUAAAGAAAAUCUGGGUCCUGAAGAAAGAAAACCAAAGAAACCUGCAGAAAAUGUUUUUAAUCCAAUAGAUCUGCAAAUGCAUAGGAAAGGGUAUACAGAAUUAGAAGUUACAACAAACAAAAGUAUGAACAAUAACUCUUAAUUUAAAGAGGUGUGCUCUAUGUCUAACACAAUUCAAUAUAUUCAUUGACACCACAGUGUAAAGGAAGUCAGAGUACACUGCAUAACUGUGAAUAAUGCAUAGCAUUUUAGAUGACAGUUUCAGAAUUCCUAAGGAUUUUGACCUUACUAAAUUGGACAGACAGUCUGAAAUCAGUAAGGUGAGAUUCAUAAAAGACAAGCAGAAAGUAUUAUACACAGGAAGGUGAAACAAAAUUGUAAUUACAAAAUGGGGAAAUAAGAGACUGAGGCUACAGCAGGCCAUGAAUUGUUUAAGGCUGACCAAAAUAACACUUUGGACUAAAAAAAAAAGAAGACAAAUGUAACUCUGGUAUGUAAUUAUAAGAUACUCAUACAGAACACCAGGGAGAUAAUGAUUGCACUCUAUAGUCCAUAGGAGAUCUCAUCCAGAAUACCUUGUCUUCACAGUAGGUGAUAUCCAGACAAAUUAGAAAGACUGGAGGAUAGUAACAAAAAUUACUAGGAUUUUUGAAAACAUUACUUAAGAUGAAAGGUUAAUGUAAUUUGAUUUGCCCAAAUC
ensembl:lncRNA